GUCGAGCGGCGGACGGGUGAGUAAUGCCUAGGAAAUUGCCCUGAUGUGGGGGAUAACCAUUGGAAACGAUGGCUAAUACCGCAUGAUGCCUACGGGCCAAAGAGGGGGACCUUCGGGCCUCUCGCGUCAGGAUAUGCCUAGGUGGGAUUAGCUAGUUGGUGAGGUAAGGGCUCACCAAGGCGACGAUCCCUAGCUGGUCUGAGAGGAUGAUCAGCCACACUGGAACUGAGACACGGUCCAGACUCCUACGGGAGGCAGCAGUGGGGAAUAUUGCACAAUGGGCGCAAGCCUGAUGCAGCCAUGCCGCGUGUGUGAAGAAGGCCUUCGGGUUGUAAAGCACUUUCAGUCGUGAGGAAGGUAGUGUAGUUAAUAGCUGCAUUAUUUGACGUUAGCGACAGAAGAAGCACCGGCUAACUCCGUGCCAGCAGCCGCGGUAAUACGGAGGGUGCGAGCGUUAAUCGGAAUUACUGGGCGUAAAGCGCAUGCAGGUGGUUUGUUAAGUCAGAUGUGAAAGCCCGGGGCUCAACCUCGGAAUUGCAUUUGAAACUGGCAGACUAGAGUACUGUAGAGGGGGGUAGAAUUUCAGGUGUAGCGGUGAAAUGCGUAGAGAUCUGAAGGAAUACCGGUGGCGAAGGCGGCCCCCUGGACAGAUACUGACACUCAGAUGCGAAAGCGUGGGGAGCAAACAGGAUUAGAUACCCUGGUAGUCCACGCCGUAAACGAUGUCUACUUGGAGGUUGUGGCCUUGAGCCGUGGCUUUCGGAGCUAACGCGUUAAGUAGACCGCCUGGGGAGUACGGUCGCAAGAUUAAAACUCAAAUGAAUUGACGGGGGCCCGCACAAGCGGUGGAGCAUGUGGUUUAAUUCGAUGCAACGCGAAGAACCUUACCUACUCUUGACAUCCAGAGAACUUUCCAGAGAUGGAUUGGUGCCUUCGGGAACUCUGAGACAGGUGCUGCAUGGCUGUCGUCAGCUCGUGUUGUGAAAUGUUGGGUUAAGUCCCGCAACGAGCGCAACCCUUAUCCUUGUUUGCCAGCGAGUAAUGUCGGGAACUCCAGGGAGACUGCCGGUGAUAAACCGGAGGAAGGUGGGGACGACGUCAAGUCAUCAUGGCCCUUACGAGUAGGGCUACACACGUGCUACAAUGGCGCAUACAGAGGGCGGCCAACUUGCGAAAGUGAGCGAAUCCCAAAAAGUGCGUCGUAGUCCGGAUUGGAGUCUGCAACUCGACUCCAUGAAGUCGGAAUCGCUAGUAAUCGUGGAUCAGAAUGCCACGGUGAAUACGUUCCCGGGCCUUGUACACACCGCCCGUCACACCAUGGGAGUGGUAUGCAAAAGAAGUAGGUAG
rnacentral:rRNA from 1 species